GACGAACGCUGGCGGCGUGCUUAACACAUGCAAGUCGAACGGAAAGGCCCUGCUUUUGUGGGGUGCUCGAGUGGCGAACGGGUGAGUAACACGUGAGUAACCUGCCCUUGACUUUGGGAUAACUUCAGGAAACUGGGGCUAAUACCGGAUAGGAGCUCCUGCUGCAUGGUGGGGGUUGGAAAGUUUCGGCGGUUGGGGAUGGACUCGCGGCUUAUCAGCUUGUUGGUGGGGUAGUGGCUUACCAAGGCUUUGACGGGUAGCCGGCCUGAGAGGGUGACCGGCCACAUUGGGACUGAGAUACGGCCCAGACUCCUACGGGAGGCAGCAGUGGGGAAUAUUGCACAAUGGGCGGAAGCCUGAUGCAGCAACGCCGCGUGCGGGAUGACGGCCUUCGGGUUGUAAACCGCUUUCGCCUGUGACGAAGCGUGAGUGACGGUAAUGGGUAAAGAAGCACCGGCUAACUACGUGCCAGCAGCCGCGGUGAUACGUAGGGUGCGAGCGUUGUCCGGAUUUAUUGGGCGUAAAGGGCUCGUAGGUGGUUGAUCGCGUCGGAAGUGUAAUCUUGGGGCUUAACCCUGAGCGUGCUUUCGAUACGGGUUGACUUGAGGAAGGUAGGGGAGAAUGGAAUUCCUGGUGGAGCGGUGGAAUGCGCAGAUAUCAGGAGGAACACCAGUGGCGAAGGCGGUUCUCUGGGCCUUUCCUGACGCUGAGGAGCGAAAGCGUGGGGAGCGAACAGGCUUAGAUACCCUGGUAGUCCACGCUGUAAACGGUGGGUACUAGGUGUGGGGUCCACUCCACGGGUUCCGUGCCGUAGCUAACGCUUUAAGUACCCCGCCUGGGGAGUACGGCCGCAAGGCUAAAACUCAAAGGAAUUGACGGGGCCCCGCACAAGCGGCGGAGCAUGCGGAUUAAUUCGAUGCAACGCGUAGAACCUUACCUGGGUUUGACAUGGAUCGGGAGCGCUCAGAGAUGGGUGUGCCUCUUUUGGGGUCGGUUCACAGGUGGUGCAUGGCUGUCGUCAGCUCGUGUCGUGAGAUGUUGGGUUAAGUCCCGCAACGAGCGCAACCCUUGUUCACUGUUGCCAGCACGUUAUGGUGGGGACUCAGUGGAGACCGCCGGGGUCAACUCGGAGGAAGGUGGGGAUGACGUCAAGUCAUCAUGCCCCUUAUGUCCAGGGCUUCACGCAUGCUACAAUGGCCGGUACAGAGAGUGGCGAGCCUGUGAGGGUGAGCGAAUCUCGGAAAGCCGGUCUCAGUUCGGAUUGGGGUCUGCAACUCGACCUCAUGAAGUCGGAGUCGCUAGUAAUCGCAGAUCAGCAACGCUGCGGUGAAUACGUUCCCGGGGCU
rnacentral:rRNA from 1 species